UGAGGUUCACCGCGGAAGCUCGAAGAUUCAAUUGAUAUUCCCCGAAGAGCAUGGCCGCUAACCAUCUGUACUGCUCGUCCUUGGAUGUUCCUGCCAAGAUGUUGCCGAAAUACGGGCUAUCCUUACAUCUAGAAAGGAUUUUUGUUUUUUACAAUGAAUGUGAUGGACCAGCUGUGAUAUGAGAAAUACAUUCUGAUAAGUAAGGAUGGUUUUAUAAUCAUAUUAAA